GUCGAUCGCCUCAGCCGUCACCAGUGAACACUGUAGGGAAACUGGCUCUGUCUAUGAAUGAUCUCGCAGGAUCCUCCAUAGACCUCAAUGCUAUAUAGCAGUGAUGUUGGCUCCUGGCAGCUGAAGUGCCAGGAGUAAAAGAGGAUCUGCUGGAAGAGAACGGCGACGACCAUUAGGGACUGGUUCAGGUAAGUAAAACCC